rnacentral:rRNA from 1 species
UACGUAGGGGGCGAGCGUUGUCCGGAUUCAUUGGGCGUAAAGCGCGCGCAGGCGGCGUGCAGAGCCCGGCGUGAAAGCCCCCGGCUCAACCUGGGAAUUGCGUUGGAGACUGCAAGGCUGGAGUCUGGCAGAGGGGGGUAGAAUUCCACGUGUAGCAGUGAAAUGCGUAGAGAUGUGGAGGAACACCGAUGGCGAAGGCAGCCCCCUGGGUCAAGACUGACGCUCAUGCACGAAAGCGUGGGGAGCAAACAGG